rnacentral:rRNA from 1 species
UACAGAGGGUGCAAGCGUUGCUCGGAAUUAUUGGGCGUAAAGGGCAGGUAGGUGGUCUUAUUUGUCUAGGGUGAAAUCCCGGAGCUUAACUUCGGAAGUGCCUUAGAAACGGUAAGACUAGAGUCCUAGAGAGGUUUGUGGAAUUCCCGGUGUAGCGGUGAAAUGCGUAGAGAUCGGGAGGAACACCGAUGGCGAAGGCAGGUCUCUGGGCAUUAACUGACGCUGAGGAGCGAAAGCAUGGGGAGCGAACAGG